UGCAUUCACUACUGAAGUCGCUCUGGAUAAGAGUGUCUGCUAAAUGACUAAAA
rfam:Salmo salar isolate Sally breed double haploid chromosome ssa01, whole genome shotgun sequence.